rnacentral:rRNA from 1 species
GAGUUUGAACCUGGCUCAGGACGAACGCUGGCGGCGUGCCUAAUACAUGCAAGUCGAGCGAGCUUGCCUAGAUGAUUUUAGUGCUUGCACUAAAUGAAACUAGAUACAAGCGAGCGGCGGACGGGUGAGUAACACGUGGGUAACCUGCCCAAGAGACUGGGAUAACACCUGGAAACAGAUGCUAAUACCGGAUAACAACACUAGACGCAUGUCUAGAGUUUGAAAGAUGGUUCUGCUAUCACUCUUGGAUGGACCUGCGGUGCAUUAGCUAGUUGGUAAGGUAACGGCUUACCAAGGCAAUGAUGCAUAGCCGAGUUGAGAGACUGAUCGGCCACAUUGGGACUGAGACACGGCCCAAACUCCUACGGGAGGCAGCAGUAGGGAAUCUUCCACAAUGGACGAAAGUCUGAUGGAGCAACGCCGCGUGAGUGAAGAAGGGUUUCGGCUCGUAAAGCUCUGUUGGUAGUGAAGAAAGAUA